rnacentral:rRNA from 1 species
CAGUAGCCGCGGGAAUACGAAGGGUGCAAGCGCUACUCGGAAUUACUGGGCGUAAAGCGUGCGUAGGUGGUGGUUUAAGUCCGUUGUGAAAGCCCUGGGCUCAACCUGGGAAUUGCAGUGGAUACUGGGUCACUGGAGUGUGGUAGAGGAUAGUGGAAUUUCCGGUGUAGCAGUGAAAUGCGUAGAGAUCGGAAGGAACAUCUGUGGCGAAGGCGACUAUCUGGGCCAUUACUGACACUGAGGCACGAAAGCGUGGGGAGCAAACAGGAUUAGAUACCCCCGUAGUCCCUGUCUCUUAUAC